UACGGGGGGGGCAAGCGUUGUUCGGAAUUACUGGGCGUAAAGGGCUCGUAGGUGGCCAACUAAGUCAGACGUGAAAUCCCUCGGCUCAACCGGGGAACUGCAUCUGAUACUGGAUGGCUUGAGAUUGGGAGAGGGAUGCGGAAUUCCAGGUGUAGCGGUGAAAUGCGUAGAUAUCUGGAGGAACACCGGUGGCGAAGGCGGCAUCCUGGACCAACACUGACGCUGAGGAGCGAAAGCCAGGGGAGCAAACAGG
rnacentral:rRNA from 1 species